AGCGCCUACGGGGCGCAGCAGUGAGGAAUAUUGGUCAAUGGGCGAGAGCCUGAACCAGCCAAGUCGCGUGAAGGAUGACGGCCCUACGGGUUGUAAACUUCUUUUGUCAGGGAGCAAUUGGGUCCACGUGUGGGCUUAGCGAGAGUACCUGAAGAAAAAGCAUCGGCUAACUCCGUGCCAGCAGCCGCGGUAAUACGGAGGUGGCAAGCGUUGUCCGGAUUUAUUGGGCGUAAAGCGAGUGCAGGCGGUUCAAUAAGUCUGAUGUGAAAGCCU
rnacentral:rRNA from 1 species